rnacentral:lncRNA from 1 species
GUCAUGAUAGACAUCCUUAGUGCUCUCACACACUGAUGCUUUCCUUUCCCUCUGCCCAUGGUUGGGAGGGAACUGGUGGCAUCCAGCACUGGCUCUUCUCCCACACUGAAAGCCCUGUAGGACCCAGGGAUUUUUUCCUUCUUUCCUUCCAGCACCUCACAGAAGUCUCACUAAUACUAUUGGUAUUAAUAUUUAACCUGGUGAAGCACAUGAGGCUGUAGGGUACAUCUGACUGGAAGGUCCAGGUUCCUGCUCAAAGCCAGGCUGAUUUAAUCCAGGUUGCUCAGAGCCUUGUCCAGGCUGAUUUUGAAUACCUCUGAAGAUGGAGCAUCUCUGGGCUCCUGCUCCCUCUGUGCAAUCUUUGCUUGUGCUGGGUUGGAGUUUCCCUUGCUGCAGACUGUUCCUGUGUCCUCGUCCUUUUGCUGUCACCCCGAGGAGAUGGACCCUGGGGAUCAGCCUGGUGGGGCUGGCAAGGAGCACAGGAGGCGGUACAGUGGGCCAGCUCUGACUACAUCUGGAAGUGUCCCUUACUUUUUCCUUUUAAAGGAAGGUGCCAGAAACUCUCCACUGACGACAGCUUCUGCUUUAGGCAACCUCUUCAUGCUAAUUAUUAUAGAUUGGCUCCAGCAAUGAAGUAAGACUUCAAAGUAAGAGUAAGACUAUUACUCUUUUAAUUAAGAGUCAACUUAAAUCACCUUUAGCAAAGCAGCAUUCAUACCCAAUUCUUUCUGCCUCCUUACCUUCAACAGUGCCCUGUAGCAUCAAGCACAUCCACAGCAUAAUUCAGGCAGGAAUUUUCUCUUGUAUUUGAGUUGAUUCUGUGUUUAAUUUCAUUGCUGUUCCCUUCCUACCACCUCCAGCUUGUGCCUUGAGACAGGAAGAACAUGAAUAUCCCUUCUGCCUUCUCCAAGGUCCUCGCUUCUCAUCCCAGAUGGGAGCUGGCUGUAGGGUCUCCCCUGCAGCUGACCUGAACCAUGGGCUCAGCAGCUCUAUGAACAGCUCUGAUAGUGCUGCUGCACAAACGGUAUCUUCCAAGAGGGGCAGAGCCAACAUCUGGAGGACAGAAACCUCUGCAGUCACCCUACAAGCUAAAUGGUUCCUGCUCAUGAAAUGGGACUUUCAGCCAGCAAAUGCUAGCAGUGGCAUGAUAGAAGCCAUAUCGAGUCAUGACUGGAUUUCUCUGAGAGCCUGAAAAUUGUAAUCCAGGUCUUUCUUCCAUUACUAAUGGUUCACAGCAACAUGGCUUUCAGGGCUAUGUCAGCAGAACCACAGAUGAUCGUAUUAAAAGAAAGAGAUUCAUUGUCGCUGUGUUAUUGCACACCGCUGUGUUUCCAGGUAGCGUUUCUUCAGUGUGCUCUCAACCUGGGAGUCAUUAAAGCAUUCUGCUGAAGUGAAUUCUGUUCUUUAUCUUUCAUAAAACCAGGAACAGACCAUCCCUGUAUGCCUACAACACAUUUUUUUUCCCUGCCCUUUCUGUAAACAGGGUGUCUGCUGUCCCUUGUUACUGCAAAGCCACAGCACCUCUUGGUCUUUCACAUCACGUCGCUGAGGCAGGGAAGUGUACCAGCUGCCAUUUAAUGAUGGGGGACUAAGGUCCAGUGGGAAAAAGGCAGGAAAGAGAGAUUCAGACACUUUCCUAACCAAAUCCCAAGUUUGUUUCUUACUCUGAUGGUGAUCCCUUAUUGGCAAUUAUUGAAAGGGGCUGAAAUGAACAAUAGUUAGAAAACAAUGCCCAAACGGGAUCGGAUAGAAGGCUUACCUAAUUUGUUGUCCUUGUGUGUGUAGGAAAUAGUGAAGAUGUUUGUAAAAUGAAGAUUAUAGGAACAAGACAAACAUACCUAAUAAUAGGAGCAUCUCUCAACCAUUUUCUGGUCAGGGAUUUUCUGUACAAGUAACAGUUGUUACUUCCUCUCCCAUUAGCUUGUCAGGUGUCCAGUGAAACCGAGCA